rnacentral:rRNA from 1 species
UCCUACGGGGGGCAGCAGUGGGGAAUAUUGCACAAUGGGGGAAACCCUGAUGCAGCGACGCCGCGUGAGUGAAGAAGUAAUUCGUUAUGUAAAGCUCUAUCAGCAGGGAAGAAAAUGACGGUACCUGAGUAAGAAGCCCCGGCUAACUACGUGCCAGCAGCCGCGGUAAUACGUAGGGGGCAAGCGUUAUCCGGAUUUACUGGGUGUAAAGGGAGCGUAGACGGCAGUGCAAGUCUGAAGUGAAAGCCCGUGGCUCAACCGCGGAACUGCUUUGGAAACUGUUAAGCUGGAGUACUGGAGAGGCA